UGAGGAAUAUUGGGCAAUGCCCGCAGGGGUGACCCAGCAACGCCGCGUGGAGGAUGAAUGUCGUAAGAUUGUAAACUCCUGUUGGAGGGGAAGAAUAGUACCGGUUGGACCGGUAUAUGACUGUACCCUCAGAGAAAGCCCCGGCUAACUACGUGCCAGCAGCCGCGGUAAUACGUAGGGGGCAAGCGUUGUCCGGAUUUACUGGGUGUAAAGGGCGCGCAGGCGGGAUAAAAAGUCAGUGGUGAAAUCCUACAGCUUAACUGUAGAACUGCCUUUGAUACUUUUAUUCUUGAGUUCGGGAGAGAGAGACGGAAUUCCAGGUGUAGUGGUGAAAUACGUAGAUAUCUGGAAGAACACCAGUUGCGAAGGCGGUCUCUUGGUCCGACACUGACGCUGAGGCGCGAAAGCGUGGGGAGCAAACA
rnacentral:rRNA from 1 species